rnacentral:rRNA from 1 species
CCUACGGGGUGCAGCAGUGAGGAAUAUUGGUCAAUGGGCGCGAGCCUGAACCAGCCAAGUAGCGUGAAGGAUGACUGCCCUACGGGUUGUAAACUUCUUUUAUAAAGGAAUAAAGUGAGGCACGUGUGCCUUUUUGUAUGUAUUUUAUGAAUAAGGAUCGGCUAACUCCGUGCCAGCAGCCGCGGUAAUACGGAGGGUCCGAGCGUUAUCCGGAUUUAGUGGGUGGAAAGGGAGGGUAGAUGGGUUGUUAAGUCAGUUGUGAAAGUUUGCGGCUCAACCGUAAAAUUGCAUUUGAUACUGGCAGUCGUGAGUGCAGUAGAGGUAGGCGGAAUUC